UAACUGCGGCCCUACACUCUUGACUUUACUGCGGUCCCCUUCCACGUGGCUUCCGGUUGGCAGUGCUUUCGGCCGGUCGCUGUUUACGGUUUCCUUUCCGCAUCUCGUCUUGGCGACGUCGGCCAGGGGACCGCAGCGAUGGCGCUCAAACGUCGAACGGGAUCCAAAAACCCUCCGAUUUUCAGCCACGAGUUCGUCAUCCAAAACCAUGCCGACAUUGUGUCCUGCGUGGCCAUGCUUUUUGUCAUGGGACUCCUGUUCCAAGUCACCGCACCAUAUGCUUCGGUUUUCAUCGCCGUGCAUCACAACACAACCGACGGCAUGGAAACGCAAGGGAUCGUGAACUACACGUACGGUGCCAAGGACAUAUGCCUGACCUUCUUCUACUUCCUCAUUGCCAUCGUCAUGCAUGCCAUCAUCCAGGAGUACCUGCUCGACUACAUCAAGAAGCACACCAAACUGAACCGCAAGAUGCACCUGUCCAAGAUGAAGCACAGCAAAUUCAACGAGUCGGGUCAGCUGCUGAUCUUCUGCCUUGCCUCUUUCCUCUGGGGUGCCGAGAUUAUCCGCAAGGAAGGGUACCUGCCCAGCAUCAACAAGCUAUGGGAGGGCUACCCCCACAACGAGAUGUCGUUCAUGUUCAAGUUCUACUUCAUCAUCCAGCUGGCUUACUGGCUGCACUGCUACCCUGAGCUGUACUUCCAGAAGACCAAGAAGGAUGAGAUGUCUGCACGCAUUACCACAGCCACCCUUCCGCUCAUCUUCUUCCUCGUGUCCUACGUUCUCAACUUCUCGAGGAUAGCGCUGUGCCUUUCGGUGAUGCACUACCUGGUGGAGACGGUGUUCCAUGCCUCCCGGCUGCUGCUCUUUGCCGAGCGCACUAAGGCCGCUGACUACGGGUACGCAGUGUGGAAUGUGCUGUUCGUGCUGGUGCGGCUGGCGUCCAUCACGCUGUCUGUGCUCACUUUCUGGUACGGCCUGGCCCAGCAAGAGAAUGCUGCCCUGCCCAUUGGCCUGGUUACGGGCAACUUCAACACCAAGCUCAUCAGGGUGAACUGCACGGUGGCCGUGUGCCUUCUUCAGGCGUGGAUGAUGUGGAACUUUGUGAACUUCCACCUGCAACUGCGGAGGGAACGUGCCGAGGCCCAGCAGAGCUCGGGCCCAGCUGCCAAGAAGAAGGCCGUCGGCCGCAAGGACCGCAAGGCUGCCAAGAAGGAUGAAUAACAAUUGUCCAAAUUGUCUAGAAUUCUCGAAACGCAGUUGAUGUUACGGAGCCACCAAGCGAGCUGCGGACGAGGACGUUAACGAGCUUCCCGAGGUGGACCAGAACGCUAAGAAGGAGCUUCGUUCUCGCCACCUUGCCAGUCCGAAAGCCAAGAGGAGCUAAUCUCUGCCCCCUUAAUUAAUGUUUCUUUUUUUUUUCUCUCUCUCUGUCCAUUACUCUCAAGCUCUUUUAUCUUUUGUUCUUUCUUUUCAUCCUGCCUUCUCACAUCGGAACAUCUCUUCAAUUGGACCUUUAGAACUGACUGCAAAAGCUGUCCCUUUCAGCUGUUCAGCACUUUCAAUGUACCGUGAAGAAUUGCUGUUUGUGCAUUCAAUACAUUUCAAAAGCAAGGGACAUGUGUUCUGCCUCUGUGCGGGAAAUUCCCAGUGAACUGUACCACUGUGUGAUCGUGAAACCCAAAUCGUAGCUAGAAAGUGCUCAGGCUUUCUGGCUUGUAGCAUCCACAUUAUAAAUCUGGGUUUGAAAUUAUAUGAAUGCCUCUUAAUUGCAGCAAAACUGUACUGUCAAAUUUAAAAAGGCUGGACAACGGUGGCAGGAGCUGCACUAGUAAUUUUUUCUUUUUCUUUAAAGUAACUCUUCCCAAUGUCUGGUUAGAUAGAAGCCAGCGAAUAUGGAAGUUGGGGCAUGUUCGUAAGCUGCAAAGGAAAUGAAGCCACAAACAGAGCAGACGAAGCUCUUGCAAAUGAAUCACCCGCAUAUGUGUUCUGCGUGAGCAUAGGCAAGGCAGGUGUUUUUAGAGUGGUGAUCAGUGAGGCUGGUUUUGAGCUUGACUGUUCUUGACACAUUCUUACUUUAGUGUCUGAUGCUUGCCCUGGUGUAAUGCCUGCUCAUCUGCUUGCAAUGUGGGAUCAUUAUAUGUAAUUGGUGGUCAACAUUGAAAGGGUAUAUGGUCUGAUGUAGUACAGCACCUCUGGAAGCCAUCAAGCCAAGCACAUUUGUGAGGAAUAUAAUGAGGGAGUAUCUUGAACAAGGGUUACUGCCUUCGACCACUUUGCAUUGCAGUGCCUUACAAAAUUUGGCAAAAAAAUACUGCGUACAAGCAAGACAUUGCACUACUUGCAUCUUAGCACGAAAAUCCGCCGUGACAAACAACUGCCGCACACAUCGCAAAGUGAACAAAGGCAGACAAAAGGAAAGUGGUUGCACCAAAGUACCUCGUAUUUCUACCAUUAUUGUCUUUAAAUAAGCUCUUGAACAACUGAACUGGAAGAGUAUUUCUUGUUGAACUGGAAGAGGUGACAGCGAAGAAGCACAUGCUUAAGGCUUUUGCGGUGCUUUCAUGUGUUGCCUUCUGCUUUGCACUUUUGUUGUUUGGUGUGCUCAGUACUGGCUUUGAGUGUGUUUGAUGCUUCUGCACUGUGCCUCCCUGGUGAAUGACUCGGCGAAGAAGACGUACAGUUCCUUAUUCACUCGAACACACUUCCAGCAGAUGUGCCUUUCAGCUCACAUGCAGUGGUCACCCUUGAACUGUGCUUGAACAAGGAAGGUUCCAUGGUAUCUGCUAAUUGAAGGGACUGCUCGUUUACUUCUGUCUGUUCAGCUUUUCUGUUCUUUCUUUUUUAGUUCCUUCCUUUCUUCUUUUUUUUUUCAUUUUGAGAGGACCAUUUGCUGCAUUGACUGAAGUGCUUAGUUCACUAAUUUCUUGUGCAAUAUAUUACCACCACCAACAGGACCACUGUGUCAUUUCUGUUAAAUACCGUUUACAAUGUUCUUAUUUUCUUUCUUUCUAUUGACUGUAUUCUUUCUCUCCUUCCUUUCCCACUCCAUUUUUUUCUCCUCUUGCAAAGCCUGGUGAUCUACUGUACUCCCUUUCAUAUGUAGCAGGCAAUGUUGUGAAUGCUAAAGAGACUUAUAUGCUUGGUCUACCUAAAAGUAGUGCGCCCAAUAUGUAGGUGUAUGUUGUGUCAUCCAAUGUCGUAUCAAGACUGACGUUUGUGUAAAGAAAUAGGCCUAAGUAUUAUGUGGAAGGCUUUCACAAAUGUGAACGUAUUUACCACCAGAUGAGUGGAGCGAUACGUUUAUGUGACGAGCGGCCACAGCGCACUGAUGACAUGAACGCCCAAAACAUAGUAUGUUGCAUUCUGGAAGCACAAACAUGCACAAAUAAUAUGCGAUUUGAUGUAACCUCAUGUCGACAAAUUCUAAUAUGAAGUAAUUUUUCCAUAGGAAGGGUCAGCAGACCAAUAACAUCUGCACUAUAAAACUGUGCAGAGCGAGAUUUCAUUGACAUGCACUGCAUGCGUAGCUUCAGCAGCAUUGCCUGCUAAGUAUGAAACGGGAAGUACGCUGUGCCACUCAUUCACUUUGUAAUUCUGUCUGCUCGAAGCAUACAUACCACCCACAUGCUCGUCUGAGUGAGAUUUACAAAUCAAUCUUUGCUUUGUAAUAAAAUGCCUUUUUUUUUUU